CAGAGGGUGUGGGUGUAAAAGCACAGACUCUAGACUCUCAACCCACGCUCUAUUGCCUCCUCCCAGUCCUCCUGCCCACAGCUGCCUGCCUGCUGCCUGCCGCCUCUGGCUGAGCUGUAAUUAGCAGGGUUUUGUUCCCACCUAACGACGCUAUUAUCCCCGAACAGUGGCGGUGUACACGGGAGACAUAAGACAUUAUCAAUUAUGAACAACUCACUGACUUGGUGUCGGUCAAUACAUGGCUUUCAAAGUGAGUGAUAUAACCGUGCUGUAACCAUUUCUGUGUUCACACUUCACUCUUUUCUCAGUUGUUUUCUACGGCUGCUGUACUGUAGGCUGCUCUGGUGCACACGGCUGAAACGGCGCAUCUGAGGUACUUUAUGGAUCUGUUGCUGGAGAGGGGCCAACCCCUGAUGCUGGUGGGGAAUGCAGGCGUGGAGAAUACUUCUCUGGUCGGGAAUCAGGUAGACCACCUGACAAAUAUCGACAUGACCACUGAAGUACCCCUCAACUACUACUGCACCUCCCUCAUGCUGCAGAGUACGACAGGCAGAAGAUAACCCUAAAUCCACCACUGUCAGUAUGUUGCCUGUAUGAAACCUACUUCUGGGAGCUUCACCAUCAACCCUGGACUACAGCUGGCCUAUCUAAGGGGAAAUCGCUCAGUUCUGCCUCCAGGACAAGACUCAUGACAAUAAAUGUCAACCGGCUCUGAUUACAGCUCUACACAAUCAGAUAUACCUUAAAGCAGUCAGGUAUGUAUUCACCCCACCACUGUUCCUCCUGACCAAGGUGCUAUUAGGGCCCAGGACUAGCAGUCAUCUGUCAAUGUGUUUGGCUAUAUAGCGCAGCAACAUCCAUCUCCGACUAACGCUGCUGUCCCACCUAUUGAUUACCACCUAAAUACAUCUGUUUCAAAGCAAAGUUUCCAGAACAGCUUGAGCUGGACCAAUUUGGGAUGAUCGGCUUUUGGUAGCUAAGCAAUGUAAUCGAAAAGGAUUCAUUUGAGUGCAACACCUAAAAUGUAUCCUUUUCUGUGUGGAAUUAAUUUUGUGUUGUAAUAAAAUAAGAUCUUAGGAUACAUACAGAUGCUCUUGAUGCCUGUGUGUUAGUAAGAAAGUAUGUGAUGAUAAACCAUUGGUUCAAUGGGUACGACGUCAUCAUUGUGGGCGUGGCACCCCGUGUAAUGACCUGCGUCUCCAGAGGCAUAACAGUAAGUCAAAUGACAUAGCAUCGGAAGUAAAUAAUGUGAAGGUUAUAAAAAACUAAGAAAGGAUAUUCAGUGUCUCAUUACAACACAUUUUGUAUGUAAUUGUGAAUCAACAUGACUGUAAAUGGUUUUCUUACUAAUCUCACCUAAUUUUGAAUGUUGACAUUUUGACAGUGUCCCAGUAGGCCAAUGGCCUACUGUGAAAUUGGGACUUCCUGUUACUGUGAAACUGGGACAUCCUGUUACUGUGAAACUGGGACAUCCUGUUACUGUGAAACUGGGACAUCCCGUUACUGUGAAACUGGGACAUCCCGUUACUGUCAAACUGGGACAUCCCGUUACUGUCAAACUGGGACAUCCCGUUACUGUCAAACUGGGACAUCCCGUUACUGUCAAACUGGGACAUCCCGUUACUGUCAAACUGGGACAUCCUGUUACUGUCAAACUGGGAAACUGCUCUAGGUCAUUUUA